rnacentral:rRNA from 1 species
UACGUAGGCAGCGAGCGUUGUUCGGAGUUACUGGGCGUAAAGCGUGCGUAGGCGGUAGUCCAAGUCUGGUGUGAAAUCUCCCGGCUUAACUGGGAGGGUGCGCCGGAAACUGGGCUGCUGGAGUGCGGGAGAGGUAAGCGGAAUUCCCGGUGUAGCGGUGAAAUGCGUAGAUAUCGGGAGGAACCCCUGCGGUGUAGACGGCUUACUGGACCGCCACUGACGCUGAGGCACGAAAGCCAGGGGAGCAAACGGG